rnacentral:rRNA from 1 species
GACGAACGCUGGCGGCGUGCUUAACACAUGCAAGUCGAACGGAAAGGCCCUGCUUUUGUGGGGUGCUCGAGUUGCGAACGGGUGAGUAACACGUGAGUAACCUGCCCUUGACUUUGGGAUAACUUCAGGAAACUGGGUCUAAUACCGGAUAGGAGCUCCUGCUGCAUGGUGGGGGUUGGAAAGUUUCGGCGGUUGGGGAUGGACUCGCGGCUUAUCAGCUUGUUGGUUGGGUAGUGGCUUACCAAGGCUUUGACGGGUAGCCGGCCUGAGAGGGUGACCGGCCACAUUGGGACUGAGAUACGGCCCAGACUCCUACGGGAGGCAGCAGUGGGGAAUAUUGCACAAUGGGCGGAAGCCUGAUGCAGCAACGCCGCGUGCGGGAUGACGGCCUUCGGGUUGUAAACCGCUUUCGCCUGUGACGAAGCGUGAGUGACGGUAAUGGGUAAAGAAGCACCGGCUAACUACGUG